AACGUAGGGGGCAAGCGUUAUCCGGAAUCAUUGGGCGUAAAGCGCAUGUAGGCGGUUUACUAAGUUGGAUGUGAAAGCUCACGGCUUAACCGAGAGAGGUCAUCCAAAACUGGUAGACUUGAGUAAGGUAGAGGGGUACAGAAUUCCUGGUGUAGUGGUGGAAUGCGUAGAGAUCAGGAGGAAUACCAGAGGCGAAAGCGGUACCCUGGGCCUAAACUGACGCUGAGAUGCGAAAGCGUGGGGAGCGAACGGG
rnacentral:rRNA from 1 species